AUUGAACGCUGGCGGCAUGCCUUACACAUGCAAGUCGAACGGUAACAGGUCUUCGGCUGCUGCCGAGUGGCGAACGGGUGAGUAAUACAUCGGAACGUGCCCAGACGUGGGGGAUAACGAGGCGAAAGCUUUGCUAAUACCGCAUACGAUCUAAGGAUGAAAGCAGGGGACCGCAAGGCCUUGCGCGUUUGGAGCGGCCGAUGGCAGAUUAGGUAGUUGGUGGGAUAAAAGCUUACCAAGCCGACGAUCUGUAGCUGGUCUGAGAGGACGACCAGCCACACUGGGACUGAGACACGGCCCAGACUCCUACGGGAGGCAGCAGUGGGGAAUUUUGGACAAUGGGCGAAAGCCUGAUCCAGCAAUGCCGCGUGCAGGAUGAAGGCCUUCGGGUUGUAAACUGCUUUUGUACGGAACGAAAAGGCUCUGGCUAAUACCUGGGGCACAUGACGGUACCGUAAGAAUAAGCACCGGCUAACUACGUG
rnacentral:rRNA from 1 species